rnacentral:rRNA from 2 species
GUCGAGCGGACAGAUGGGAGCUUGCUCCCUGAUGUUAGCGGCGGACGGGUGAGUAACACGUGGGUAACCUGCCUGUAAGACUGGGAUAACUCCGGGAAACCGGGGCUAAUACCGGAUGGUUGUUUGAACCGCAUGGUUCAAACAUAAAAGGUGGCUUCGGCUACCACUUACAGAUGGACCCGCGGCGCAUUAGCUAGUUGGUGAGGUAACGGCUCACCAAGGCAACGAUGCGUAGCCGACCUGAGAGGGUGAUCGGCCACACUGGGACUGAGACACGGCCCAGACUCCUACGGGAGGCAGCAGUAGGGAAUCUUCCGCAAUGGACGAAAGUCUGACGGAGCAACGCCGCGUGAGUGAUGAAGGUUUUCGGAUCGUAAAGCUCUGUUGUUAGGGAAGAACAAGUACCGUUCGAAUAGGGCGGUACCUUGACGGUACCUAACCAGAAAGCCACGGCUAACUA